GAUGAAGAACGUAGCGAAAUGCGAUAAGUAAUGUGAAUUGCAGAAUUCAGUGAAUCAUCGAAUCUUUGAACGCACAUUGCGCCCCCUGGUAUUCCGAGGGGCAUGCCUGUUCGAGCGUCAUUUCACCACUCAAGCCUCGCUUGGUAUUGGGCAACGCGGUCCGCCGCGUGCCUCAAAUCGACCGGCUGGGUCUUCUGUCCCCUAAGCGUUGUGGAAACUAUUCGCUAAAGGGUGUUCGGGAGGCUACGCCGUAAAACAACCCCAUUUCUAAGGUUGACCUCGGAUCAGGUAGGGAUACCCGCUGAACUUAAGCAUAUCAAUAAGCGGAGGA
rnacentral:misc_RNA from 1 species